CCCCGGCCUCCCUUGCGUCUCCCUUGCGCCAGAUGCGCGUGCGUCCCCCGUAGCCGCUGUGCCGAAGCCGGUUCCUUUCGUGCAAUAUCCUGCUUAACGCGACAAUCCCGUCUUCACGCAGCGAGUUGGACCGAGCCCUUCCACGAGCCGCAGUGGUGGUGGAGGGGGGGGGAGCACGGCUGCGACACCGCUCGUUUGCAAGGUAAAACCACCGGCUUCGACGCUCGUCUUGCGCUAACGUCUCUUCCCACCUCCCAGGGGCUGUUCCUGCAGCAGCCGCGAUCCUCCGGGGACACCCCUGACGCCGGCUGCGCUGGCUCCGCGGGCGGACGUCGCUCCGGCGGCUGCGUCGAAUCCCACAGCCGCCCGCCCCGGUGCCGAGGGCGUCCUCGGUGUGGAGAGCGGGGCAUCGCCGCCGGAAACCCCAUCGGCGCACCCGGAGGCGACGCUUCGCCUUUUAAUUCGUGCGGUUUUAGCUUUUUGAACGGAGGCCGGCAAGCGCUCGGUUCCCCCCGCCACCCGUUAGACUCGGGCAGGAAUUCUGGCCCUCGGCGGAGCGACUUCGAGGACGGACGCGGCGCCUUCCCACCGCCGGCAUCCGCACGCACGCGGAGGGGUUUGCCGCGUCCGGAGGCGACGGGAGCCCGCGCGCCGGAGGGAAGGGGACGCUUGAAUCUCCCGCCGCUGUCACCAGAGGGCACGCGUCCUCCGCCGCGGACGAGCCCGGAGGCAUCCCUCGCCCCCCGGGGACUCCCAACGCUUCGGAGGCCGGAUAAGGAGGGGGAAGCACCGGGGGCUCGCCGCCACGGAGCCGCUCGGGAGAACGCGGCGCCGGCACGUUUAGCCGCCCAAAAAGCGCAGGAGAACGACAGCGAGCUUGUUCCGCCGGGCGAGACGUACGAAAACGCCGCCGUAGCGCUGCCGGGGGAGAGCAGGAACGCGAAAGCCGCAAAGCGUCGAGGCUUCACAAGAGCUUCGCCGCAGGCACGGCGAACCCCCAGCGUGCCGAGCGGGAGACGGGGGAUUUGCUCCGUUACCGGUUAUUUACCAAUAAAAA
rnacentral:lncRNA from 1 species